CAAUAGCGUAUAUUAAAGUUGUUGCAGUUAAAAGCUCGUAGUCGGAUUUUGGCACCAAGCCGAACUGUCUGCCAAUGGUAUGUACGGUUUGGCGGGUGCUUCCUUCCGGAAGCCCGCGUCUUUCUUCAUUGACUGGUGCGGUGAGUCCGGAUCAUUUACUUUGAAAAAUUAGAGUGUUCAAAGCAGGCCUAUGCUCUGAAUAGGUUAGCAUGGAAUAAUAGAAUAGGACUUCGGUACUAUUUUGUUGGUUUCUAGGACCGAAGUAAUGAUUAAUAGGGACAGUUGGGGCAGUCAUAUUUCCAUUGUCAGAGGUGAAAUUCUUGGAUUAACGGAAGAUGAACUACUGCGAAAGCAUCUGCCAAGGAUGUUUUCAUUGAUCAAGAACGAAAGUUAGGGGAUCGAAGACGAUUAGAU
rnacentral:rRNA from 1 species